rnacentral:rRNA from 1 species
GACGAACGCUGGCGGCGUGCUUAACACAUGCAAGUCGAACGGAAAGGCCCUGCUUUUGUGGGGUGCUCGAGUGGCGAACGGGUGAGUAACACGUGAGUAACCUGCCCUUGACUUUGGGAUAACUUCAGGAAACUGGGGCUAAUACCGGAUAGGAGCUCCUGCUGCAUGGUGGGGGUUGGAAAGAUUCGGCGGGUGGGGAUGGACGCGCGGCUUAUCAGCUUGUUGGUGGGGUAGUGGCUUACCAAGGCUUCGACGGGUAGCCGGCCUGAGAGGGUGACCGGCCACAUUGGUACUGAGAUACGGACCAGACUCCUACGGGAGGCAGCAGUGGGGAAUAUUGCACAAUGGGCGGAAGCCUGAUGCAGCAACGCCGCGUGUGGGAUGACUGCCUUCGGGUUGUAAACCGCUUUCGCCUGUGACGAAGCGUGAGUGACGGUAAUGGGUAAAGAAGCACCGGCUAACUACGUG